CCCUUAGAUGUUCUGGGCAGCACGCGCGCUACAAUGGUCUUCGCAAACGGAUGCAUUCUCGAAGGAGAAUGCCAAUCUUGGAAUCUAUGCCUUGGUCGGGACAGUUGCUUGCAAUUUUUCGACUCGAACCAGGAAUUCCUUGUAAUCGUGAUUCAUCACAUCACGAUGAAUACGUCCCUGCCCUUUGUACACACCGCCCGUCGCUCCUACCGAUCGAAGAGUUAGGUGAAUUGUUUUGAUCGAUAAGAUUUGACUAUGGUCAACUCUCGUUGGGAAAUUCUGUGAAGCUGACUGUUUAGAGGAAGGAAAAGUCGUAACA
rnacentral:rRNA from 1 species